UACGGGGGGGCAAGCGUUGUUCGGAAUUACUGGGCGUAAAGGGUCUGUAGGUGGCCAACUAAGUCAGACGUGAAAUCCCUCAGCUUAACUGGGGAACUGCGUCUGAUACUGGUUGGCUUGAGUGCAGGAGAGGAAUGCGGAAUUCCAGGUGUAGCGGUGAAAUGCGUAGAUAUCUGGAGGACACCGGUGGCGAAGGCAGGUCUCUGGGCCCGAUACUGACGCUGAGGUAGCGAAAGCGUGGGGAGCGAACAGG
rnacentral:rRNA from 1 species